rnacentral:rRNA from 1 species
UAGAGUUUGAUCAUGGCUCAGGAUGAACGCUGGCGGCGUGCUUAACACAUGCAAGUCGAACGAAGCGAUAGGAAGGAAGUUUUCGGAUGGAAUUCAUAUUGACUGAGUGGCGGACGGGUGAGUAACGCGUGGGUAACCUGCCUCGUACAGGGGGAUAACAGUUAGAAAUGACUGCUAAUACCGCAUAAGCACACAGAAUCGCAUGAUUCGGUGUGAAAAACUCCGGUGGUAUACGAUGGAUCCGCGUCUGAUUAGCCAGUUGGCGGGGUAACGGCCCACCAAAGCGACGAUCAGUAGCCGGCCUGAGAGGGUGAACGGCCACAUUGGGACUGAGACACGGCCCAAACUCCUACGGGAGGCAGCAGUGGGGAAUAUUGCACAAUGGGGGAAACCCUGAUGCAGCGACGCCGCGUGAGUGAAGAAGUAUUUCGGUACGUAAAGCUCUAUCAGCAGGGAAGAAAGAAAGUCCUUUGGACUUUGGACGGUACCUGACCAAGAAGCCCCGGCUAACUACGUGCCAGCAGCCGCGGUAAUACGUAGGGGGCAAGCGUUAUCCGGAUUUACUGGGUGUAAAGGGAGCGUAGACGGCAGCGCAAGUCUGGAGUGAAAUGCCGGGGCCCAACCCCGGAACUGCUUUGGAAACUGUGCAGCUCGAGUGCAGGAGAGGUAAGCGGAAUUCCUAGUGUAGCGGUGAAAUGCGUAGAUAUUAGGAGGAACACCAGUGGCGAAGGCGGCUUACUGGACUGUAACUGACGUUGAGGCUCGAAAGCGUGGGGAGCAAACAGGAUUAGAUACCCUGGUAGUCCACGCCGUAAACGAUGAUUACUAGGUGUCGGGGG